GCAACUCGACUCCGUGAAGCUGGAAUCGCUAGUAAUCGGAUAUCAGCCAUGAUCCGGUGAAUACGUUCCCGGGCCUUGUACACACCGCCCGUCAAGCCAUGGAAGCUGGGGGUACCUGAAGUCGGUCACCGCAAGGAGCCGCCUAGGGUAAAACUGGUAACUAGGGCUAAGUCGUAACAAGGUAGCCGUACCGGAAGGUGCGGCUGGAACACCUCCUUU
rnacentral:rRNA from 1 species